rfam:Rattus norvegicus chromosome 5, whole genome shotgun sequence.
GGGGAUUUAGCUCAGUGGUAGAGCGCUUGCCUACCAAGCACAAGGCCCUGGGUUCGGUCCCCAGCUCUG